rnacentral:rRNA from 1 species
CGGUAAGCUUUAACAUGCAAGUCGAACGGUAACAGGUCUUCGGAUGCUGACGAGUGGCGAACGGGUGAGUAAUAUAUCGGAACGUGCCCAGUCGUGGGGGAUAACGUAGCGAAAGUUACGCUAAUACCGCAUACGAUCUACGGAUGAAAGCGGGGGAUCGCAAGACCUCGCGCGAUUGGAGCGGCCGAUAUCAGAUUAGGUAGUUGGUGGGGUAAAGGCUCACCAAGCCAACGAUCUGUAGCUGGUCUGAGAGGACGACCAGCCACACUGGAACUGAGACACGGUCCAGACUCCUACGGGAGGCAGCAGUGGGGAAUUUUGGACAAUGGACGCAAGUCUGAUCCAGCCAUUCCGCGUGCAGGAUGAAGGCCCUCGGGUUGUAAACUGCUUUUGUACAGAACGAAAAGGCUCUUCCUAAUACGAGGGGCUCAUGACGGUACUGUAAGAAUAAGCACCGGCUAACUACGUGCCAGCAGCCGCGGUAAUGCGUAGGGUGCAAGCGUUAAUCGGAAUUACUGGGCGUAAAGCGUGCGCAGGCGGGUUAUAUAAGACAGAUGUGAAAUCCCCGGGCUCAACCCUGGGAACUGCAUUUUGUGACUGUAUAGCUAGAGUACGGCAGAGGGGGAUGGAAUUUCCGCGUGUAGCAGUGAAAUGCGUAGAUAUGCGGAGGAACACCGAUGGCGGAGGCAUCCCCUGGGCCUGUACUGACCGCCUCAUGCACGAAAGCGGUGGGGGAGCAAACAGAUUAGAAUACCCUGCUAGUUCCACGCCUAACGAUGUCACUGUUUGUUGGUCUUCC